UACGUAGGGUGCGAGCGUUGUCCGGAAUUAUUGGGCGUAAAGAGCUCGUAGGCGGUUUGUUGCGUCGGCCGUGAAAACCUGCAGCUUAACUGUGGGCCUGCGGUCGAUACGGGCAGACUUGAGUUCGGUAGGGGAGACUGGAAUUCCUGGUGUAGCGGUGAAAUGCGCAGAUAUCAGGAGGAACACCGGUGGCGAAGGCGGGUCUCUGGGCCGAUACUGACGCUGAGGCGCGAAAGCGUGGGGAGCAAACAGG
rnacentral:rRNA from 1 species